CGAUCUUGCUGCAUUGGCUUCAGUUAACACUCUCAUCUCCAAUCUAAGUUGAUUUUCAACCAUCCAUCAGGAUCUCCAGUGGCAAGGUAUUGAUUUUGUUUAUCAGUAGACAUAACAAUGGAUCCAACUCCAGCAUGAGCCAAAAAUUCAGCCAGAAGUUCUUUCUUAAAUGUGUCCCAGAACCUGACAUAACCAGAUGCUCCACAUGAUACAAGGUUAGCACCUCCUAUUACAUAGGGGAAGUCUAAUUAGGAAAAUAAACCCAGAAAUCCAAAGUGGCUUCUCCCAGCAGCU
rnacentral:lncRNA from 1 species